CUCGCUCCUUCUCUCUGUUGCCGCUGUGGCUCCUCCUACUUUGGUCCUUCUCCGUUCUCUCUCAAUCGAGCUCACAAGAAUCAGAGUUGUUCUCAAGGGAAGCACAAGAUUCCAUAGAUCAGAGGAUCAAAUGGAGGACAUGCUCACCUGAAAUUCCAGUUAUGUUUUCAAUCUUCGUGGGAUUACUAUGUUACAUUUGAGACAUUUAUUACUAUAGAGGAUGACUGUAAUGUGACUGUGAGUAUGACCUUUGACUUUUACAUAGAAAAACAAUAAAGUGGUUGAAGUUCAAAGUCAAAACAAUAUACUUGAUAUCUCUUCGGGAUUUUUGCAUCUUGCUGGAGAUUCAUUAAUACCUGAAGCAAUCAGUAAGAAAUGCCUUGAAGAUGCCAAAGUUCUCCAUCAGGUGGAUAAGAAAUUCAUUCCAGUUGUGGCUGGUGGAACCCUUGCUGUUAUUGAUCAGCAUGCUGCAGAUGAAAGAAUCAGACUGGAAGAAUUGCGGCAAAAGGUAUUAUCUGGAGAAGCAAAAGGAAUAACCUGUCUGGAUGCUGAACAGGAACUGGUAUGUACCCUAUGAAUUAGAGGGUCUAUGAGACUCUUUUCUCUCCCUGAUUCUUUAAAAUUAUUACACCAUUAGCAAGACGCAUUAUACAGGAGCUGCCAGAGAUUGGUUAUCAACUACUUCAUAGUUAUAGCGAAUAGAUUAAAGAUUGGGGUUGGAUGUGCAACAUUCAUGUUCAUUCUGAACCCUAUAAAAGGAAUCUGGAUGUUCUCAACAGACAACCAAUGGCCGUCACACUUAUAGUGGUACCUUGUAUUUUAGGUGUCAACUUAAAUGAUGUUGAUAUUUUAGAGUUUCUUCAGCAGGUUUAAAAAAUCCUUAUCUGAGCCUUUGUUGCGUUAUAAUUGUAUUCCUUCAAUAAUUGAAAAUUGCAGGCUCUUAUGAAAAAUUCAACUGAUGCCAUGAAGGAAUAAAGGGUCUAGAUUUUACAUUUGGUGAGUUAUCUGCAAUAUGUAAUUUAGACAGACAUAGUCAUCUUGAUUGUUUCUAAUUUAACAUAUUGAAAGUUAUUGGUGAGUUAUCUGCGAGAUGUAAUGUUAUAUUUGACAAAUGAAAAAUCUUACUUCC